GAUGAACGCUGGCGGCGUGCUUAACACAUGCAAGUCGAGCGAAGCACUUACCAUUGACUCUUCGGAAGAUUUGGUAAAUGACUGAGCGGCGGACGGGUGAGUAACGCGUGGGUAACCUGCCUCAUACAGGGGAAUAACAGUUAGAAAUGGCUGCUAAUGCCGCAUAAGCGCACAGUACCGCAUGGUACGGUGUGAAAAACCGAGGUGGUAUGAGAUGGACCCGCGUCUGAUUAGGUAGUUGGUGGGGUAACGGCCUACCAAGCCGACGAUCAGUAGCCGGCCUGAGAGGGUGAACGGCCACAUUGGGACUGAGACACGGCCCAGACUCCUACGGGAGGCAGCAGUGGGGAAUAUUGCACAAUGGGGGAAACCCUGAUGCAGCGACGCCGCGUGAAGGAAGAAGUAUCUCGGUAUGUAAACUUCUAUCAGCAGGGAAGAAAAUGACGGUACCUGACWA
rnacentral:rRNA from 1 species